rnacentral:rRNA from 1 species
UGGGGGGAUAUUGCACAAUGGGCGAAAGCCUGAUGCAGCGACGCCGCGUGAGGGAAGACGGUUUUCGGAUUGUAAACCUCUGUCUUCGGGGACGAAAAUGACGGUACCCGAGGAGGAAGCCACGGCUAACUACGUGCCAGCAGCCGCGGUAAUACGUAGGUGGCAAGCGUUGUCCGGAAUUACUGGGUGUAAAGGGAGAGUAGGCGGGAUUGCAAGUCCGUUGUUAAAUCUAGGGGCUCAACCCCUAAACUGCAUUUGAAACUGUAGCCCUUGAGUAUCGGAGAGGCAAGCGGAAUUCCUAGUGUAGCGGUGAAAUACGUAGAUAUUAGGAGGAACACCAGUGGCGAAGGCGGCUUGCUGGACGACAACUGACGCUGAGGCGCGAAAGCGUGGGGAGCAAACAGGAUUAGAUACCCUGGUAGU